rnacentral:rRNA from 1 species
GACGAACGCUGGCGGCGUGCUUAACACAUGCAAGUCGAACGGAAAGGCCCUGCUUUUGUGGGGUGCUCGAGUGGCGAACGGGUGAGUAACACGUGAGUAACCUGCCCUUGACUUUGGGAUAACUUCAGGAAACUGGGGCUAUUCCCGGAAAGGGGUCCCGCCGGCAGGGGGGGGGUGGGAAAGUUUCGGCGGUUGGGGAUGGACUCGCGGCUUAUCAGCUUGUUGGUGGGGUAGUGGCUUACCAAGGCUUUGACGGGUAGCCGGCCUGAGAGGGUGACCGGCCACAUUGGGACUGAGAUACGGCCCAGACUCCUACGGGAGGCAGCAGUGGGGAAUAUUGCACAAUGGGCGGAAGCCUGAUGCAGCAACGCCGCGUGCGGGAUGACGGCCUUCGGGUUGUAAACCGCUUUCGCCUGUGACGAAGCGUGAGUGACGGUAAUGGGUAAAGAAGCACCGGCUAACUACGUG